AGCAGUAGCCGCGGUAAUACAGAGGGUGCGAGCGUUAAUCGGAUUUACUGGGCGUAAAGCGUGCGUAGGCGGCUUCUUAAGUCGGAUGUGAAAUCCCUGAGCUUAACUUAGGAAUUGCAUUCGAUACUGGGAAGCUAGAGUAUGGGAGAGGAUGGUAGAAUUCCAGGUGUAGCGGUGAAAUGCGUAGAGAUCUGGAGGAAUACCGAUGGCGAAGGCAGCCAUCUGGCCUAAUACUGACGCUGAGGUACGAAAGCAUGGGGAGCAAACAGGAUUAGAUACCCGUGUAGUCCCUGUCUCUUAUAU
rnacentral:rRNA from 1 species